GUCUCGGAUAGCUCAAGGGAAAAGCAGUUGGCGCGAUACCAAAAGAUCCAAGUUCGAGUCCUGGUCUGGGCC
rnacentral:tRNA from 1 species